AGCGAACGCUAGCGGCGGGCCUAACACAUGCAAGUCGAGCGUGUCACUUCGGUGGCAAGCGGCGAACGGGUGAGUAACACGUAGGUUAUCUGCCUUUUGGUGGGGAUAACCCAGGGAAACCUGGGCGUAAUACCGGCAUAUGGUCUUCGGAUCAAAGCCUUCGGGCGCCGAGUAAGGAUGAGCCUGCGGCGCAUUACCUAGUUGGUAGGGUAACGGCCUACCAAGGGGACGAUGCGUAGCUGGCUGAGAGGAUGAUCAGCCACACUGGGA
rnacentral:rRNA from 1 species